ACUUCAACCUUCACUUGCCAGGCUAAAGCAAUUCUUCUGCCUCAGCCUCCCAAGUAGCUGGGAUUACAGGAACUGACCUCACAAUGACUCAAGCUACCACUUACUGUUGAUUGUGAUGAAAUGCCACCUGAGGCAUAUGCCGUGUGAGCUUAGGGGUGCUACAUUUGACCAUGAUGGCAGUAAAGAUGACUCUGAAGAAUGGCAUGGGAUGGAUCCCUUUGAAUGCACUCAAGCAGGGGUCUCCAACCACAGGGCCACAGAGCCAGAGCUGGAUCUACCGUGAAAGACUUCAGAAUCCAGGAAGAGAGACUGACUGGGCAACAUGUUAUUCAGGGUCUUGCUCCAUUGUCCAGGCUGGAGUGUAGUGGUGCCAUCACAGCUGACCGUAACCUCAGCCUCGCAGGCUCAAGCCAUCCUCGCACCUCAGCCUCCCAAGUGGCUGAGACUAUAGAUGCUUGCUACUAUGCCCAACUAAUACUUGGACUUUUCCUAUAUGUGGGUUCCAGAGAGCUGAAUGUGAAACGUGAGUAUGCAUGGAUUUUGGUAUAUGCAGAGAUGGGGAGCUGGAACUAAUCCUCUCUGUAUACUGAGGGAUGACUGUAUAUAUUUUUACAAUUAUGCUGUAGGGCACAUAUUGUUCCAUAGCCUUGAAAAUGAUAAUUUUAAUGAAAAUUAUUUUUAAUUGAGUGGAAUAAUAAUAAUAAUAAUAAAAGUAGCAGCUGGACAGGUGUGGUGGCUCACACCAGUAAUCACAACACUUUGGGAGGCUGAGGUAGGAGGAUGGCUUGAGGCCAAGAGUUUGGAAACCAAAGGAAUCACCAUCCCUACAGAAAAAUACAUGAAUUAGCCUAGUGUGGUGGCAUGUUCCUGUAGUCUCAGCUACUUGGGAAGCAGCUGUGGGAGGAUCACUUGAGCCCAGGGAGGUUGAGACUGUAGUGAGUCAUGAUCAGGCCUCUGCACUCCUGCCUGGAUGACAGAGUGAGACUCUGUCUCAAAACAACAAAAAAGUAGCAGCUAACAUGAACUGACCUUUUACUAGGUGCCUAUAAAUACCAUAAUAUAAUUUCUUAUAACUGUUUCUUAUUUCACUUAACCACUCUGUCUUCGAUUACUCCCAGAAUUUCACAGUGUUUAUGCAGAUGACCUUUUGUUUAGAUUGAAUUGUCUCCCAAGGUAUUUCCAGAAGUGAGAUUACUGUGAGUCAUGGUGAAUGGACAUUCUCAUUGCCCUUGAUGUAAAUUGACAAGGUUUUGGGUGCCUCCUGGCUAUAAUCCCAGCACUUUGGGAGGCUAAGGCAGGAGGAUUGCUUGAGGCCAAGAGUUGGAGGAGGCAGUAAGGUGAGACCCUGUCUCUAUUAUUUUAAAAAAUUGCCAAGCUUUACCCUGGAAGGCUUAGGUACAAUUUAAACACCCCUCAUAGUAUAAGAAGGAGUCCAUUUCACUGCACCUUUGCCAGCACAGGGUAUUAUAAUUUAAUAAGUUAUUUUUUGUUUGAUUAUUUUAAAUAGAUAAAAGACCUCAUAUUACUUUGUCACAUUUCAACAUCUUUCUUAGCUUAUUAGCUCUAUUUCUUUUCUGUCUGUAAAUGGUUGUUGUGGUGGUGGUUUUGUUUGAGGCAGGGUCUUGCUGUGUCCCCCAGGCUUGACUCUAGUGUCAUAAUCAUGACUUACUGCAGCCUUGACCUCCCAGGAUCAAACUAUCCUUUUGCUUCAGCUUCCUGAGGAGCUGGGACUACAAGUGUGCACCACCACUCCCAGCUAAUUUUAUUCUUUUUCUGGAUAGAGACAGGGUCUCACUGUGUUGUCCAGGCCAGCCUCUAGCUUCUGGCCUCAAGCAGUCCUCCUGUGUUGGCUUCUUAAAUUGCUGGAAUUUCAGGCAUGAGCCACCAUGCCUGACCAGGGCUAGUCCUACAUUCUCUAGAGUUCUCUUUACUUUGUGCUAGCCAGUCUCUCAUUAUGUUGUUCCCCUGUUAAAAUGAAUAAUUCUCUGUAUUAAAUUUUACAUACUUUAAAUUUUUGAGUGGUUUACGUUUCCUGAUUAGACUGUGAUACGCUAAGAAGGGUCCCUGGAGAUAGACUCACACAGAUGGGAUUUGGACAUGAGUUUGGUUAUCCAAGGGACUAUACUGAGCUCCUUGCCAGUGGAAAAUGGGAUGCUGGUGAUUUCCAGAAAGUGACCUCACAGUGACUCAAGCUACCACUUACUGUUGAUUGUGAUGAAAUGCCAGCUGAGGCACAUGCCUUGGGAGCUAAGUGGUUCUUGCACUUGACCGCUAUGAAGACUGUUGUGGGAACAGUCCUUUUGGAUGUACAUCAGCAGGGGUCCUCAACCCCUGAGCCACGGAGCUAUAAGGAGCCACACAGCAGGAGAUGGGACCGUCUUGUUGCAGGAAAACAAGCUUAACAUGCCC